rnacentral:rRNA from 1 species
CUACGAGAUGCUGCAGUGGGGAAUAUUGGACAAUGGGGGGAACCCUGAUCCAGCCAUGCCGCGUGUGUGAAGAAGGCCUUUUGGUUGUAAAGCACUUUAAGCAGUGAAGAAGACUCUUCGGUUAAUACCCGGGGACGAUGACAUUAGCUGCAGAAUAAGCACCGGCUAACUCUGUGCCAGCAGCCGCGGUAAUACAGAGGGUGCAAGCGUUAAUCGGAAUUACUGGGCGUAAAGCGAGCGUAGGUGGCUUGAUAAGUCAGAUGUGAAAUCCCCGGGCUUAACCUGGGAACUGCAUCUGAAACUGUUAGGCUAGAGUAGGUGAGAGGGAAGUAGAAUUUCAGGUGUAGCGGUGAAAUGCGUAGAGAUCUGAAGGAAUACCGAUGGCGAAGGCAGCUUCCUGGCAUCAUACUGACACUGAGGCUCGAAAGCGUGGGUAGCAAACAGGAUUAGAUACCCGAGUAGUC